UUGUUAUUAUUGUAAUAUUUAUUUUCGCUACGUUUUCCUUUUAAAUAGUGUGAUGCAAAAAAAAAGCGCAUCACGAGUUAACUUGUGACCGGUCAGCAACGUUCGGCCACAGAAACACGAGUUAACUCGGGACCAGUCAACAAAGUGUUAAAACCGAUAUGCUAGGAAUAUGCGGAAUAUAACAUUUCUAAUGAUGAAGAUUACUUAAGUAUUCAUGAAACAGGAAUUAUUAGACCUAAAGUAUUUUUAAAACGACAACCAAGAGAAAAAUGGCACAACCCUUUCAAUCUUUUCAUUUUUAAUAUAUUAAAGUCUAAUACAGAUAUGCAGUUUAUUAUCGAGGAGUACUCUUGUGCCGCGUACGUUAUUGAAUACGUUAAUAAAACUAAUAAAGGUAUUUGCAGUUUACAGUGCCAAAUUAUUGAAAUAAUGAAUGAGCACCCAAAAUUCAACAUAAUUGAAAUAACAAGGACAAUAAGUAUUAAUAUGAUCAAUACUGUUGAAUGGAUGAGUCAAGAAGCAGCAUGGUACCUAUUUUGUGAACCUAUGUCCAAAAGAUCAGUCUCUGUAAUUUAUAUCUCUACCAUAUGAAAUGACAGCGUAUUAGACGAAUACAAAAAGAAUUUGACAAAUUAAAUAAAGAUGAGAAUUCAAUAAAUAUGUGGAAGAAAAACGGUUUGUCAAAUAAGAGCAGCGGUCAGAAGAAAUAGAAGAAUUAUCACUUCACAAUUUGUUAUUAAUUAUAUUAAAAAUUUACAAGGAAUGUAAAUUCGUCGAAAACAACAACCGCAUUAUUCGUUACAGAAAUUAUGACAGCCUCAGAUUUCAAUGAGAAUAAAAGGGAAAUGGUGAUCCUACAUUUAUGAAACUUCGUAAGGAAUUCGAAUUUGACUUGACAUUAAGAAAAUUAUGAUGAUUUGUCAAAAAAAACUAUGUCGUGAAGAUGUACAAGCAGACGAUGAGAUCCAUGAUGUUGCCAUAAGAUUUCCAGAAGUAAACCCUUUGACUGCUAUGGGCGCAAAUGUUCGUCUAGCGGAAACUAUUGGUGUGGCCUAUGGGCUCAAAUAUACGUCCGACGCAAGCCAUCGAAAUAGACUAUGGACGCAAAUGCGCGCUCGUGGAAUUUUUGGCUGUUACUGCUGUCUUAUAUGUAUGCUCGGAAAUGGUUUCUCUUUUACAUGUCCAAUACACUCGCAGAAAUCUUAAACCUCGUUGAUUAGCAAUGAAAAAAAUGAAAUUUCGUUUAUUUGGUCAGUCAUUCUCUGUUCUUAAGGGGACGUUCUACUCGAAGCACC